UGCCAGCCGCCGCGGUAAUACGGAGGGUGCAAGCGUUAUCCGGAAUCACUGGGUUUAAAGGGUGCGUAGGCGGCGUAUUAAGUCAGGGGUGAAAUCCUCCCGCUCAACGGGAGAACUGCCCUUGAUACUGAUAUGCUCGGAUGGGCGCGAGGUAAGCGGAACGCGGCAUGUAGCGGUGAAAUGCUUAGAUAUGCCGCAGAACACCAAUUGCGUAGGCAGCUUACCAGAGCUCUAUCGACGCUGAGGCACGAAAGCGUGGGGAGCGAACAGGAUUAGAUA
rnacentral:rRNA from 1 species